GAUUAUCUCUUUCUUUUCUUUGGUAUUUGAUUUCCUUGCCUGCUUCUCGUUUUUGACUUCGCCUUCUGUUUUGGAUUGCUGCUUCCUCGUUGUACCUUCGUGUUCUGACCUACUCACCUGCUUCCUGGUUUUCUUUUUUGCUUGGCGAGUCCUGCACAGGAUCCAUUCACCCUAUCAGCCCCAUUCUGACAGUGCAGUGGCGAUAGUUCUGUGGUGUAUGCUAACUUCCUUCUCUGCUCCCUGCGCUGUCAGCACCUGCAGGAGCUCUGCACGAUGCUGAUCCUGACAGCCCAGAGGUCCGUGACUCUGCUGCCUUUGCCCUGUACUCAUUCAACUUCUUCAACAAGGACCCCUACCUCUACAAAAUAACCACGUUUGAGUCUGUGAAAGAGAAGGAUGUUGGUGGGGGAGAGUACAUAAUGGAUGUGCUGCUGCAAAAAACCCAGUGCAGGAAAAAAGAGGAUACUGACCCUCAGUCUUGCCUACUUAUGACAAGCCUACAAGACACAAAGGCCCUCCUGUGUCAUUUUGUGGUCUUGAAUGCUCCCUGGAAGCAGGAGAGAGUGCUGAUUGAAAGUCAGUGCCACCCGAGACAACAGGGACAGUGAGGGGCUGGAGUUCCUGGCUCUGUAUCUAGCACUCUUACUGAUUGAACAAUAAAAAAAAAAAUGAAAGAGUGAUAUCACAUACUGUCUUACUGUUUAUUACAUUUCCUCAAAUAUGCCCUAAAACAUUA